UACGAAGGGGGCGAGCGUUGUUCGGAUUUACUGGGCGUAAAGGGCGCGCAGGCGGUCUUGAAAGUCAGGCGUGAAAGCCCCGGCUUAACCUGGGAAUUGCGCUGAUACUCUGAGACUGGAGUACGGGAGAGGAGAGUGGAAUUCCCAGUGUAGAAGGUGAAAUUCGUAGAUAUUGGGAAGAACACCAGUGGCGAAGGCGGCUCUCUGGACCGUAACUGACGCUGAGGCGCGAAAGCGUGGGGAGCAAACAGGG
rnacentral:rRNA from 1 species